GAUGAACGCUGGCGGCGUGCCUAAUACAUGCAAGUCGAGCGAACGGACGAGAAGCUUGCUUCUCUGAUGUUAGCGGCGGACGGGUGAGUAACACGUGGAUAACCUACCUAUAAGACUGGGAUAACUUUGGGAAACCGGAGCUAAUACCGGAUAAUAUUUUGAACCGCAUGGUUCAAAAGUGAAAGACGGUCUUGCUGUCACUUAUAGAUGGAUCCGCGCUGCAUUAGCUAGUUGGUAAGGUAACGGCUUACCAAGGCAACGAUGCAUAGCCGACCUGAGAGGGUGAUCGACCACACUGGAACUGAGACACGGUCCAGACUCCUACGGGAGGCAGCAGUAGGGAAUCUUCCGCAAUGGGCGAAAGCCUGACGGAGCAACGCCGCGUGAGUGAUGAAGGUCUUCGGAUCGUAAAACUCUGUUAUUAGGGAAGAACAUAUGUGUAAGUAACUGUGCACAUCUUGACGGUACCUAAUCAAAAAGCCACGGCUAACUACGUG
rnacentral:rRNA from 1 species